rnacentral:rRNA from 1 species
AACGAACGCUGGCGGCGUGCUUAACACAUGCAAGUCGUGCGGGAAAGUCCCCUUCGGGGGGCGAGUAUAGCGGCGAACGGGUGAGUAACACGUAGGUAACCUACCUUGGAGACUGGGAUAACCCGUCGAAAGAUGGGCUAAUACCGGAUAAGACCACGCGGCCCUCGGGCCGCGGGGGAAAAAGUGGCCUCUGCAUGCAAGCUACCACUCCAAGAUGGGCCUGCGCGCCAUUAGCUUGUUGGUGAGGUAACGGCUCACCAAGGCAAAGAUGGCUAGCUGGUCUGAGAGGAUGGCCAGCCACACUGGGACUGAGACACGGCCCAGACUCCUACGGGAGGCUG